UACGUAGGGGGGCAAGCGUUGUCCGGAUUUAUUGGGCGUAAAGAGCGUGUAGGCGGCCAGAUAGGUCCGUUGUGAAAACUGGAGGCUUAACCUCCAGCUGUCGAUGGAAACCAUCUGGCUAGAGUCCGGAAGAGGAGAGUGGAAUUCCUGGUGUAGCGGUGAAAUGCGCAGAUAUCAGGAGGAACACCGGUGGCGAAGGCGGGUCUCUGGGCAACAACUGACGCUGAGGAGCGAAAGCGUGGGGAGCGAACAGG
rnacentral:rRNA from 1 species